rnacentral:rRNA from 1 species
UACGUAGGGCGCAAGCGUUAUCCGGAAUUAUUGGGCGUAAAGAGCUCGUAGGCGGUUUGUCGCGUCUGCUGUGAAAACCCGAGGCUCAACCUCGGGCCUGCAGUGGGUACGGGCAGACUAGAGUGCGGUAGGGGAGAUUGGAAUUCCUGGUGUAGCGGUGGAAUGCGCAGAUAUCAGGAGGAACACCAAUGGCGAAGGCAGAUCUCUGGGCCGUAACUGACGCUGAGGAGCGAAAGUGCGGUGGGAGCGAACAGG